rnacentral:rRNA from 1 species
CCUACGGGGGGCUGCAGUGAGGAAUAUUGGUCAAUGGACGAGAGUCUGAACCAGCGAAGUAGCGUGAAGGAUGACUGCCCUAGGGGUUGUAAACUUCGUGUAUAUGGGAAUAAAAUGUUACACGUGUGGGAUUUUGUAUGUACCAAAUGAAUAAGGAGCGGCUAACUCUGUGCCAGCAGCCGUGGUAAUACGGAGGAUCCGAGCGUUAUCCGGAUUUAUUGGGUUUAAAGGGAGCGUAGGUGGAUUGUUAAGUCAGUUGUGAAAGUUUGCGGCUCAACCGUAAAAUUGCAGUUGAAACGGGCAGUCUUGAGUACAGUAGAGGUGGGCGGAAUUCGUUGUGUAGCGGUGAAAUGCUUAGAUAUCACGAAGAACUCCGAUUGCGAAGGCAGCUCACUGGACUGCAACUGACACUGAGGCUCGAAAGUGUGGGUAUCAAACAGGAUUAGAUACCCUGGUAGUC